CUCUCUCUGGACUCCUUGGCUCAGAGCAGCAUAUCUCCAUCAUUGGCAUUCACCAUCACUAUGAAGGGCUUCACUGCUUUUGCCAUCCUUGGUCUAGCAGUCACUGCUUGGGCUACCUCGCCAUAUGGCAAGUCAGGGUUUCUUUCCAAUAGUCACGCGUUUAUGUUAACUGUAAUAUAUUCAGCCUUCAUUAAAUUAUAAAUGUUAAUGUCUAAAGAAAAUUUAGAAGGCAUCUGUUUGAAUUGGCCUGAUUAACAAAAGUGAGUUGAGUCAGAUCUUUAGUGUGAGGAAGAGAGACUGAGGAGAGGGAUAAAAGGAUUGUGGCUGUAUGUUCCAUUCCUGAGCAGGAUCCCUCAGGUUUAUGACUUGCCCUUUCAGAAACAACCUAUAAAGCUUUGGGACCAUAACCCAUGCCAUCCUACUCAGAGGAUGCCCACAGGAACUCCUGGACAUCUGUGACAGUCCUUUCUCAAUAAACAGAGCUUUCCCCACUGGAUUUUUUUUUUUUUUUAAAUCAGAGCCACAUGCAUGUCUAUCUUCAUCCUGAGUUUGGACUUGCAUGAAGAAAUGGCCUCUUUUAGGGCUGGGCUGGGCAAGGACUAUUGCUGGGAAAUGGGUUUUGGUUACCAUGAACAAUGGGGAUUUAGCUUUGCACUUCUAACUGUGCAAUUUGUUCUUUCUCCAACUGCUCCUCUUCAACUGAUUCUUGCUUCGCUCUCUUCUGGUGAUCAAACAAAAGGGACAAAGAGAUCAAGAAUUUCAACUCAGAAAACUUCAUGAAGGUAAAUGUAUUCAGUGUACCAGGUAUUCUGAGGCAUGUACCAUGGACUACACACUUCACUGUGGAUCUGAUGGAAAUGUAUAUUCCAACAGAUGUACCUUUUGCAAUACCGUUGUGAAGAGCCAAGGUGCAAUUUGGUUGAAAAAUUAUGGAUUGUGCUGAAUCUCCCUGAUGCUUAAGGAUAUCAAGUCUCCUUUGGCAGAUUCCACUUAGAUAACCAGUUUGUCUUGGACGGCUGAGGAGGCAAGCAAUAAUCUGGUACAAACAUGGAUUUGAGUCUUCAACAAAGUAUUCUCAGCAAGGAACUGACUAUCAGUCCUAUCUGUGGAUGUGAUUCUUCUCUUAAGGAGAAUAUCUAUGGUCAUUUUCCUAAGCUAAAAAUCAUAUAGAAAGAUUUUCUCUAUUUCUAUACAAAUUGGGAACUAGAUAUUAUACACACAAUGGUGAGAAGAGAAUAUGCUUAUAUCAUGUUUAAAAGACUCAAUUGUUUUAAGUAAACAUGAGUCAGAGGAUGGAUCUGUCCAUUGGUCUCAUAUUAUCUUUGGCACACUAAUGAAGUGAAAAAUUUAGAUUUGGAGAAAGUGAGAAUCCAAAAUACUAUACACUAAUCAGAACAGACCAGUCAUAACGUAUAUUUUAGGUGUCAUCAUUUAAAGAGGACUCAGUCACGUAUGGGCACAUGCAAAAAAGGCAUUAUGUUGAAGGGAGAGAGACAUUAAAAACAAGAUCUGAUUGAUUAAAUGUUGAAGUCACUAAAAGGCCUCAGGAAAAUAUGAUGGAGGUGGGAAUGAUGAGGGUAUAUUCAAAACCAUCCUGAGAGAGAAACUCCAGAAUUUUCUCAUCUAGCAUGCCAUAGAAAGCACC
rnacentral:lncRNA from 1 species